rnacentral:rRNA from 1 species
AUUGAACGCUGGCGGCAGGCCUAACACAUGCAAGUCGAACGAGUGGCGGACGGGUGAGUAAUGUCUGGGAAACUGCCUGAUGGAGGGGGAUAACUACUGGAAACGGUAGCUAAUACCGCAUACCAUCAGAUGUGCCCAGAUGGGAUUAGCUUGGUGGUGGGGUGACGGCUCACCAAGGCGACGAUCCCUAGCUGGUCUGCGAGGAUGACAAGCGACACGGGAACGGGUACACGGUCCAAAGGCGUACGGGAGGCAGCAGUGGGGAAUAGUGCACAAUGGGCGCAAGCCUGAUGCAGCCAUGCCGCGUGUAUGAAGAAGGCCUGAGGGUUGUAAAGUACUUUCAGCGGGGAGGCGUUACCCGCAGAAGAAGCACCGGCUAACUCCGUGCCAGCAGCCGCGGUAAUAC